UCUUCUCCUCGGAGGUCACCAGCGGCAAGCGGCGCCAUGAAGGGUACUUCGAGAAUGGCGACAGUGGCGGCGGCAGCGGCGGCAGCGUGUCCCCGCCGCCCGCCAAGCGCCUGGGCAUCUUCUCGCCGCCGUACCCGAGCGUGGGCAUCAGCCCCGACCUGCCCGCGCAUGCCAGGGACUACCGCACGCCCGCGCCCCCGCCGGACGACGAGUGGAAGAACAUUCAUGUGAUGCUGACCUGCAUUCUGAGCAUGGUUGAGA